UACAGAGGGUGCGAGCGUUAAUCGGAAUUACUGGGCGUAAAGAGCUCGUAGGUGGUUUGUCGCGUUGUCCGUGAAAACUCACAACUCAAUUGUGGGCGUGCGGGCGAUACGGGCAGACUGGAGUACUGCAGGGGAGACUGGAAUUCCUGGUGUAGCGGUGGAAUGCGCAGAUAUCAGGAGGAACACCGGUGGCGAAGGCGGGUCUCUGGGACGGUACUGACGCUGAGACGCGAAAGCGUGGGGAGCGAACAGG
rnacentral:rRNA from 1 species